CCAUUUCAGUUAUGGAGGCUUGUGUUGAUGUGGAGGUGCAGUGAUGUGGAAGUGGCCUGAGAUGCUGAGCUCACAGGUUAACAUCAGAUUUGUCUUUUGAAAGAGCAUCUCUCAACCUAGUGUGUCUGGAAUUGGUGGGUUCUUGGUCUCGCUGACUUCAAGAAUGAAGCCGCGGACUCUCGCAAUUCAUUCAUAGCUGCUACACAUUCAUCUCUAUAUAAAACCUACUCUCCCCUCUGAAAAAGCAGCAUAACCAGUCAACGAACAAGUAUAUAGGAUUAGCACAUUAUGAAGAAUAAAGAGAAGCUUUCAGCUCUCCGUCAUGGAUGAUAUUUAUCACAUUUUCCACGACUGGCUCUAAUAACAGUGCAGAGAUAAAAUAGGCUUGAUGCAUCUUUCCUGUACAGAGAAUUUUACAACAGCAACUGUAAGAAAUUCAGGAGAUGAAACACUUCUCCCCUCUUGCAGUUUUUAUUAGUCUUAAAAAUGGGAGGUGGGUGUGUGGGGGAGACUGUUUCUACAAAAGUGGGCUUGAAUUUUCUGUCUGUUAUGCUAAUGUAUUCAUAGAAAAAGCUGGUGCUGAGGGCGGUUCUCCAAUUAAGACAAAUGAGGCACAUUGAAUUUCUCCCCCAGGGCACAGCAGGGGUGCUGGCAAAAUCUACUUUAUUCUUUUCUGUCAGGACUGAACUGGAAACAAAAGCAUGAAAAUUCAACACAUCCACUUACAGAAUAAUAAAGGCUGUUGUUUAAAGCGUGAAGAGUUUUGGCACCCUUCUGGGGCCUUAUGCAAAUCGCUCUUCCUCUCAACUGCUACCACACCAUCGGUCUUGGAAAUUAAAGAUGUACUUGGUCGGUUAACAGCUGAAAGGAGAAGAGCAGCCUGAAACUCAAUUAGAUUUGUAUUAAGCAAAUAAAUCAGGACUGACUGAUAUUGGCUAAACUAAAAUGCAUUAUGGGCUGACAGUAAUUCUAAUUUGAUGGACAAAUAUAUGUAGUGUGUUAUUAACCUAAAUGAAAGAUGAGAAUCCUUUUUUUUUCUUUUUAAAGGAUUUUGUUCUAGUAAACAAUCCGCUCUCCCUCUGAACUUACACAAAACAAUAAACAGAGACUACUGGUAUGGUUCUGUUUACAAUCCAUGCUCAAGAACACAGGAAAUCUAUUUUCUAUUACGUGGUUAGAGUUUGAGACAAAAUUAUUGUGCUGAAAGACAUUUGUUUUUAUCGAUUUAUUUGGUGUAAUGUAACAUCUCAACACAUUAUUUAUUUGGUACACCAAGCACGCUAUUUUUAUUAUGGUGAGUAACACAAAAGCAUAGACCUGGUAUAUGUCUCAUUAUUUAUUCGGAACCCUGUAGUAUAGGAGGCUUUUCCACACCAGGGCACAUACAAAGGGGCCUCAAAUAUGGUUCAAAGUCAUAAAUGAAGAUUUCAAUAAAAUCCUCCAAAGCUUUGAGGAAAACAAAAAACACUCAACAAAUAGCAUAAACGUGUUGGUGUGUGUGGUUGGAUAAGACAUUUCCUUUGAAAGAAGAGUUUUGGGAGUUUCAACUUACUUCCUUGUCUUUGCUGUUUACACCUUUAGAACUUACAGAAAUGGCCAGGUGUGGUGGCUCACACCUGUAAUCACAGCACUUUGAGAGGCUGAGGCAGGAGGAUGGGUUGAACACAGGAGUUUGAGAUCAGUCUGGGCAACAUGGAGAAAUCCUCAUCUUUAAAACAUACUUUUUGACAAACUUAGCCACGCUUGGUGGCACAUGCCUGUGGUCCCAGCCACUCAGGAGGUUGAGGCAGAGGAUUGCUUGAGCUUAGCAGUUCGAGGUCGCAGUCAACUAUGAUCACACCACUGCAAUCUAGCCUGGGCAACAGAAUGAGACCCUGUCUCAAAAACAACAACGAGAAAAACCUUACAGAGAUUUAGGUCAUUACAUUUAACAUCCUGCUAAAUUAAUAAUUAACUAGUAACUUAAUACUUUUGCUUUGGUUGUAACUAUGUUCUAUUUUCGUCACCUUUUCCUUCUGGCUAUCAGAUUAAAGACUCAUUGACUCACUGUUGUCUUUCAAUUAUCUUUCCUUCUACAUUUCCUACCUGGCUCUUCUUGCCAAAUCCUGCUGCGUUUUGCUCUGCAUAGGUGCCAGAAAUUGUCUAUUUCUCCCCUUCAAAACUUGUCCAAACCUUUGCCCCUGUGUGGGCAGCUUCCUGCCGCAGCUCUUGCCAGUACCUGUUCUCAUAUCUCCUUGUUGGGGCUCAGAAAGCAACACCCCAAAACAUGGUGCUUUGGCACUGCUGAGCACUUUGAACUGGAGAUCAGAAGGCCUUAGAAGCUGCUUCAGAAGCAAAAUCUCUGACCUUCUCCUGUUCUCUCGUCCUCUCCCUCUCCUUCUCCUCCAAAACAAGUUAUAGAGUCUAGAAUUUCUCUUCCCCAAGGCAGGUUAUAGAAACUAGAUCUCCUCUCCCCAAAAAGCAAGCCAUAAAGAAGACCCUCAUUCCAAAGGAGUCCUUCCCUGUAGCCAGGAGGAAGGAAUGCCACACAGAGAGGCCAAGGUGAAUUGGAACAGACAGGGAUUGCUGGGUUUUCACCCCUACAGUCUAUUACCACUAGAUCAUUCCCUUUGUCCAGUCACAUUUCUACGUGGCUGUCUAUUCUUCAUUGAAUCUAAGCAUAAAAACAGACAAUUUUCCCUCAGUCUUUGACUCCUCAUAUCUCAAAGUUUGAGAUAUGAAGACUCAAUCUUUGUCAUGUAAAACUUGAUUAUAUCAAGUAACUUUGUUAUGCCUUUUUUUUUUGAGUUGGAGUCUCGCUGUGUCGCCCAGGCUGGAGUGCUGUGGCGCGAUCUCGGCUCACUGCAAGCCUCGCCUCCCAGGUUCACGCCAUUCUCCUGCCUCACCUCCCGAGUAGCUGGGACUACAGGCACCCGCCACCACACCUGGCUAAUUUUUUUGUAUUUUUAGUAGAGACGGGGUUUCACUGUGUUAGCCAGUGUGGUCUCGAUCUCCUGACCUCAUGAUCCGCCCGCCUUGGCCACCCAAAGUGCUGGGAUUACAGGUGUGAGCCACUGUGCCCAGCCUGUUACGCCUUUUUCUGGUUAAGCUUCCCCCACUCCCCACCUUUUUUUUUGUUUCAGAGGGUAUAUGUGCAGAUGUAUUACAUGGGUAUAUUGUGUGAUGCUGAGAUUUAGGGUACAGAUGGUCUUGUCACCCAGGCAGUGAGCAUAGUACCCAAUAGGUGGUUUUUCAGCCCACGCCCCCUUCCCUUCUCCUUCUAGUAGUCCUCAGUGUCUAUUGUUCCCUUCUUUGUGUCCAUGUGUACUCAAUGUUUAGCUCCUACUUGUGAGAACACACAGUAUUUGUUUUUCUGUUCCUGUGUUAAUUCAUUAAUUCACAUAGGAUAAUGGCCUUCAGCUGUAUCCAUGUUGCAAACGACAUGAUUUUUUUCUUUCUUAUGGCUGUGUAGUAUUCCAUGGUAUAUAUGUACUGUCUUUUGUUAUAGGAGUGUUGGCCAUGACCCUUAUGAUGGAUGAGGAAAGGGAUCAUACCUUUCUGUCCCACAUCCUCUACUGAACAUAUCAAAGAUUCUUGGCCAAAACCAAUUUUCCCUGACACUCUGUCUCAACUGUUCUUUCCCAUUAUAAUUGGUGUUGAUAUGGACAGGAGGCAGAGAAAUACUAGGUAGAAAAGGGUGGGGCUUCUGGCAAGUGUUCUACCCCCAAGCCUGGACCCACGUCCCUAAAUGAGAACUUCACAUCCCUGUUUUUCUGCGCAAAUAUUACCUUAUGUGCUGCCACCCUCACAUCCUGUGUCCAUAAAAACUCCAAGCUCCACUGGCAGAGGAGCCCAGUGGUGUGGCAGAAAAGGAGAGAAGAGAAGAGGCAGCUGGACAUUGGAGACUACAGUCAGAGAGGAGUUUGGCUGUCUCCAGCUGAACUCCAGGGGAAGAUUAUCUUCCUACUCCAUCCCCUUUCCAGCUCCCCAUCCUACUGAGAGCCACUUCCACUGCUCAAUAAAAUCUCCACAUUGAUUAUCCUUCAAGUCUGUGUGAACUGAUUCUUCCUGGAUGCUGGACAAGAACCCAGGUACCAAGAGGGCAGGGUGUAAAAGCCUGUCACCCUGAUCCUCCACUGACCUGGUUUAACACUUAGCCAUCUGUGGAUGGCAAAUGCUAAAAGAUCAUUGUAAGACAUGCCCUCUGGGGCUCUAGAGGUCACUAGCAACCCCUAGACACUGCCAUGGGCCAGUACCAGGUUCGUUCCUUGCUCCUGCACCUGCCAACCUGCAAGCUUCCCCUCCUGUAAGGAGUUUGAGUGCGGUGGCCGAGCAAAGGAGACACCCCUGUUGCAAGUCCCAUGAGGGGGUCAAGGGAACUCUCCCGUCUCAAUAUUCCUCACUGAUAAUGAGAGCAAAGAACACCAUAGAAUGAGACUUCAUGAAUUGCCAUCAAGUUUUGCACACAGUUACUUUCAUCCCAGAUUAAAGUCUCUCUUUUUAGCUUUUCCAACAGUUGUCAUCUCAGACCACUCAACUGCUGCUCUCACUUCUCUCUUCUCCUUCCUCUGCAGAGCUGGCCAUACUCUUUUUUUUUUUGUCACUCUUUUUUUGUUACAUUUUUGCUUGCUUUCUUGUCAUUUCCUUUAAAAUUCAUCAACAAAAUUAGUUUAUUAAACUUUGAUAUCCAUCCCAGUACUCAUAUAUAAUUUGAUAGUGACAAUCCUUCCACUUAUUGUGAGUUUAGAAUAACUUUGUUCUAUAAUAUUGAUUAGGUUCAGGGCACACUAACCCAAAAUAUGGCACCUUGGCAUAUUGAAUAUUUUAAGCUGAAAGAAUCUGAGAAAUUCCCUAUGCUGGAAGGACUUUCUGACUUUCCCUAAAGCAGGUCAUGUGAGAGGUGCCCUCCUUAUACCUGGAGGAAAGGAGCAUCCAUAUCUCCAAAGACACAGGGAUGCUGAGAGGAAUCUGAAUGGACAAGCCUUGUCGUUUCUCCUAGUUUAUUAUAAUUAGCACAUGCCCAUUUUAUGCUAUCAUAUUUCCCCAUGACCGUCUACUCUUCAUCAAACCUAGCAUAAAGCAACCCAGUUUUAAGCACUUCUUUGGGUCUUCAUUUCCUAUUGAAGGCUCCAGUGUCACGCAAAACAUACACAUUUCUAUGAUUCUUUCUUUCUGUCUUUUGUUCCAGGGGCCCCAGCCAAUGAACCUAAAAUGAGUAAAAGAUAAAGAUGUUUUUCUCCUCCCCAACAAUAUUUGAUUAAUGCUUUUUCAGGUUUCAGACUUUUAGUUAACAUUCUGUAUUGUGAGAUUACUUUUAAAAAAUGAGAUUCAAUCUAAUUUCUUAAAUAAACUUGUGUAUACCUCUUUGGUUGUUCAUUUUGGUUUUUUAUUCCAUUUAGGAACAGUAAUGUCAUAGACUUUUGACAUUCACUGGAUGCCCAUUCAAUGGGCCUUCAUAAAUCUCAAUAAUUUUUUUUCAUUUUAAAAAAUCAUGAUAAAACACAUACGACGUAAACUUUACCAUUGUAACCAUUUUUAAGUAUACAAUUCAGUGGCAUUAAGAACAUUCACAAUGUUGUAUGAUGUGGUUCAGAACACACUGCCCCAAAAUAUGGCACUUUGGCAUAUUGAGUAUUUUAAACUGAAGGAAUUUGAGAAAUAGGUGCUAGAAGGACUCUCUGACCUCCUGUUUUUCCCUUGAAGCAGAUCCCAAGACCCUCAUGUAAGAGGUGCCCUUGCUAUACUCAGAGGAAAAGAGCAUCCCUACCUCUGAAGAGGGAGGGAUGCCGAGAGGAAUCUGAAUGAACAGGGCUUGUUGUUUUCCCCAGAUUACUACCCUUAGCUCAUAGCCUUUGUCCUAUUACAUUUUUCCAUGACUUUUUACUCUUCCUCAAAUCUAGUAGAAAAAUGCACAGGCUUAACUGUUGCUUUGUCUUCAUUUCCUUAUAAAGUUUCCUUGGCCACAUAAAACUUACAUUAAAUAAAUUUUUACAUAUUUUUUCUUGUUAAUCUGUCUUUCGUUAGUCUAAUUUACAGGGUCCCAGUCAGAUAACCUAAAAGGAUAGAGACAAAGGAUAUUUUUUUUCUCUCCUAC
rnacentral:lncRNA from 10 species